GCUUGGCAGCAGAGAGCCUUGCUGACUCCAUGCCCUGUACCUCACUGCUGGUCCUGUGCCCCUUCUCAGCUCUGAAGCCCGGGCCUCAGCCUUGGCUCUAUGGACCAGGCGAUAGAUGACAUGACUCCUCACGGAGCUCAGAGCUCCUCACCCUGUCGCCUUCACGUGCAGGUGGUCGUUUCCUGUGACAAGCAAUGCCAUAUCCCCGAUAGCCACAGCUCCUGUCCCUCUUACUGAGUCUGGGCAUAAUACAGCAUGCACUGCAUAGCAAUGUUUUAGUCAGUAGCAGGUCAUGCACUCUUAGUGACAUGGAGCUGCCUCUGUUUGUGAUAUACACUUUGUGACAUCUGCAUAGUACUGGUCACCUAACAGCACAUGGCUCCAAGUGUCAUCAGCCAUUAGUGACAGUCUGCCUAAAGCCUGUCAAAGCAAGACAGAGACCACAUGGUGAUGCUGGCAUCUUCAGGUCUGAUGAGGAAACUGUGUUUAGAUCUGAGAGCCCUGGAGAUGUAUGCAGCAGGAGAGAGAAAAUGAGUAACCCGCCUCUUCAAGAAUGGAAUCGUCAGCUGGGCCACCUGGGUCCCCGCACUGGGCUGUCCUUGCCCAGGCGGGCACUGUUUACCUCCGUUGCUUGUUCUCUGACAGUGUGAGCUCAGCACUGCUUGACUCCAAUCAGCCCAUGAGCUUCUGGAUGUUUCCAACUCUAAACAAAGAUGGAACUUCCCCCAUAGCAGCCCUGCGAUGGCCUCCAUCACAUCCUGUCCACCCCGGGGACUGCCUCCCACCUCCAGACUUUGGGGGUGGGGGACAAACGCUGGGCGUUUUCUCCCGUCACCUGACUGCUGGAGGCAGGAACAAGCCUCCACAGGGAGGCUCACACAACUCAAACAAGGACUGGGAAUGGCUCCCUACCACAGUCAAUCCACGGCCUUUUCCACAGGCGGCCUCGCCACGCCACCAAAGGCAGAUUCAACAUAAAGUGAGUCACCCACACCUUUGCCCCCAACAGAAGGCCGUCCUGGUGCAAGGCCCGUGCCUUCUCUAUCCCACAUCCUCACUUCUGAGAGACAUGAUGGACGGGGGCUUCCUGUGCCCUGCUCUCGCCUUUCUCUGUGACACCUGUGCCCAUCUGCGAGUCUCAUGGCUCUUCUGGAAUCCGUGGCACCCUGGAGACUGGUUUCCACUUUAGCUUGUCUAGACAGGGUCACUUCUCAAAUCCUGGGGCUAAAGGCAUGUGAUCCAAAGUGCUGAGAUCAUCUUUGUGUGAACUCUUUCUCUUUAUGACUGGAUCAAUUUCAUGAAGCUCAGCGCAGCCUUGAACUACCAGAGAUGUAUCUGCUUGUCUCUUGAGUCCUGGGAUUAAAGAUAUGUGCCAACACUGCCUGGCUCUAUGCCUCUAUGGCUAGCUAGUAUGGCUGCUGGAAUUAAAGGUGUGUAUCACCAUUGCCUGGCUCUGGCUUGUGGCUAGCUUUGCUUUCUGUAACCUCAGGCAAGCUUUAAUAAAUCGUAAACAAUAUAACACCACAGUCAGAACCCACGAUCCUGAGAUUAAGAGUCUCAUGCUCUGCCAACUGUUCAUUUUUUGUACUUCGAGUAUGAGAUACCAUGCCUGAGCCUGGCGACUUUCCUGUGUACACAUUCCACUAACAUCCAAAUCCCAUCCUGCCAAGACCCCCUCCAUCUGUCACUCAUCUCGAAAUGUCCUCAGCAGUCGUGGUCUGUCCAUGAUAAAAUGUGCCUUAAAUUUUAUCUGAAUUGAUUAAGCCACCUCCCCUUUCAGAGAAAUCAGAAACAUACACAUACACUUUACCUAUUUAUGUAUUUAUUGAUAUGUAUUCAUUGCAUAUAGAAAUGGGUUUUAGGAAAGUGUAGCAUGCACUGCCUGCAUUCACCCCACUCUCUCUUCCCCCACUCUCUCCCCUAGAUGGUUUUGUUCCCACUUUUACAUCCUAUAUACCUAUAUUUUUAAAAUCUAAACUAGCAUUCAGAGUAAUGGGUUUUAUUACGGCAUUUUCAUAGCCACCCCCUCCUUUUCUAUCUUCUCGUCCCCUGAGCUCCAGGUUGUACCCUUUAGUCCCAGAAGUCCCCCUUCAGCCUAUCAUGUCAUGCCGCAUAUUGUCUAUGGACAGCAAUCAUAAACUAGCUGAGUGUGUGCUUCUACUCCAACCGUACUUCAAACUUCCCUGCGCUGGAGAGCAGUUUUGCUUUGUUUCUCAC